rnacentral:lncRNA from 1 species
UGCAAAGGUGCUGAGUGAUUGGGUGGGGCCAUGCCCCUCCCCCCACCCCCACCGCGGGGCCCUGGAGGAAGGGGAUGAACUCUACAAGGCCCUCUCCGCAGAGAAACCUGGUCUUGUGAACUGCAACACAUAUCUGGGAGGAUGGGUUUCCCAAGGCACUGCCACUGCCUGCCCCUGCUCUGGGGGCUCUGCUGCUCCCAGGUCCCCAGCUGGAGCCCCCCAGCCCUGCUCCCUAAUUCCAGCGGAGCAGGCACCGUGCCCGCAUGCCCAAUUGAUUCUCCCAGCACACACAGUCAACAGGGUCCAGGAAGAUAGUCGAGCCUGGUGUUGAUUACCACGAGUGGGCCCUCUGCGGAGAAGCUGACAGCUGUCCCUGAGCUCUAUUAUCUGGACACACUACUGGAGUGGGAGCCUACAGAGAUGACCCAGUCACCGCCCCAAGCACUGAGCACUUGAGGUGUGGCGACAAAGGAACCAAAGAGGACUUCAUUUCCAUUUGGGGGCAGGGCAGGAAGAAAGAGAGGGGGUGCUGCAGCAGGACGGAUGGAGGAUCGAUAUCAAGGGGAACUUCCAGUGGAACGAAGCUUUGCUUUCUGAGCUGUGAUAAAUGCUCUGCUGGGCUGUGGGAAAGGGGCUGGGAUGGAAAUGGCAUUGGCUGGGCCUAUAGCCAAUGGGAACUUCCCCAUAGAAGAUGCCACUUAAAAAUGUUAUUACACCCUCAGGACUUUUAAAGUGAAGAAUAAAGUAACCAUGAACACCCUUUAAAGUAAUAUUGAGAGUUCCGAAGAG